CUCUUCCCUGUCUCCAACCUUCAGCCUUGAAGAAAAAAACACCUCAGUUUCCUGAUGCCGAGGACCACGCUUUGGGAGCAAAAGGUGUGGGAAGAAAAAGUAUUUCUCAACGAUCAGGUCCCUGAUGCCGUGGCGCCACGAUGUAACUCGCUCUUCAUGACAGGCAGGUGUCUUCCACAACACCACGGAUGGCAGUGACUUUCCAGGAGCAGUUUCCACACCACAAAGGAAUUCUUCUUCAGACAUGUAUCAUCAGUUUUGAUGUGGGACAAGGCAUUCAUGCAACCCUUCUCUGUUCCACUCUGAAAGUGCACAAGCCAUUCUCAGCAAAGUCAGCAGAAAACUUCAUUACAAUCAAAAUCGCCAAAAAAUUGUGCCUCUGACAGGUGCCUCUGACUUGUACCUCUGACAGGUCCAACACCCGUUCAUGACCGGGGCAUUUGAGGCUCCCUACAUUAUGUGGCACAUUAGCCUGCUUUUGAGCCUUCAUGUCAAUCUGGGAACCCCAUUCAGCAGACCAGAUGGCAGAAAUGAAGAAACCGACCCAAAGACAACUGUGGGGAAACACGCUGCUGCCAGCAAAAUAAACUGUAUAAAAAGGGGAUCCCGAAAAGGGCCAAUUCGUGAACAAGGGGAGUUGCAGUGCAAUAGAUGCUGUAGCUGAGGUUCACCCAGUGUCGAUCCCAGGCAUCGACACUGUGCUUCCUAUUGCUGGUUUGCCCAA